UUAUGCUACACAGAUUCAGCAACAGCAAACACUCAUACAACAACUAGCACAGGCCCAAGGGAUACAUGUCCCGGUGCCCCCCCCCCACCACCUCCCGUCCAUUAUCCUUGGUCUUCACCUCCACCUAUACCUACAUCUCCAUCUACCGAACAUCAGACCCCUCCAGCUACCUUGCCGACGCAUGAACAAGAGGACGGGUUAGACUUUGUCGAUACCCUCUUGAAUAGUGGAGGUAUCGAUGGUGAUCGGCGAACGUGAGCUUCCAUGUUAUUGUGUUCUGAUACUUGAGACUUUUAUUAUGACUAUGUAUGAGAUAUUGUCUUUUAUUAGUA